rnacentral:rRNA from 1 species
AUGUUUGAUGUUCUAACGUGGACCCGUAAUCCGGGUUGCGGACAGUGUCUGGUGGGUAGUUUGACUGGGGCGGUCUCCUCCUAAAGAGUAACGGAGGAGCACGAAGGUUGGCUAAUCCUGGUCGGACAUCAGGAGGUUAGUGCAAUGGCAUAAGCCAGCUUGACUGCGAGCGUGACGGCGCGAGCAGGUGCGAAAGCAGGUCAUAGUGAUCCGGUGGUUCUGAAUGGAAGGGCCAUCGCUCAACGGAUAAAAGGUACUCCGGGGAUAACAGGCUGAUACCGCCCAAGAGUUCAUAUCGACGGCGGUGUUUGGCACCUCGAUGUCGGCUCAUCACAUCCUGGGGCUGAAGUAGGUCCCAAGGGUAUGGCUGUUCGCCAUUUAAAGUGGUACGCGAGCUGGGUUUAGAACGUCGUGAGACAGUUCGGUCCCUAUCUGCCGUGGGCGCUGGAGAACUGAGGGGGGCUGCUCCUAGUACGAGAGGACCGGAGUGGACGCAUCACUGGUGUUCGGGUUGUCAUGCCAAUGGCACUGCCCGGUAGCUAAAUGCGGAAGAGAUAAGUGCUGAAAGCAUCUAAGCACGAAACUUGCCCCGAGAUGAGUUCUCCCUGAGACUUAGAGUCUCCUGAAGGAACGUUGAAGACGACGACGUUGAUAGG